UACGAAGGGGGCUAGCGUUGUUCGGAUUUACUGGGCGUAAAGCGCACGUAGGCGGAUUGUUAAGUCGGGGGUGAAAUCCUGGAGCUCAACUCCAGAACUGCCUUCGAUACUGGCAAUCUCGAGUCCGGAAGAGGUAAGUGGAACUCCUAGUGUAGAGGUGAAAUGCGUAGAUAUCAGGAGGAACACCGAUGGCGAAGGCAGGUCUCUGGGCCACUACUGACGCUGAGGAGCGAAAGCGUGGGGAGCAAACAGG
rnacentral:rRNA from 1 species